ensembl:lncRNA
UGGCAGCCCAGUGGUAUGUGUCAUGGUCCGGGUGAGUGCAGGAAUAUUCAUCUCUGGUUACGGUCUUUAUGCUUGGGUGGAGUGGCGGAGCUGUGUGAGUGCGAGUAAUCACGCUGUCAGCAUUUAAGGCCAGCGCUCACCACUACUCCUUGCCAAGGGAUCUGCUAACCCACAUCGGUAUUGAUUGUCAAAGCGUAAAGGUGUUUUGAACGCCGUAACUCUGUUUUUGCCUUCUACAGUCUUCAGCCAACUGCCAAACCUUGCCGCGGACCAUAUUCAUUCUCCUCUGCUGCUGCUGUAUUGUUUUCCACCUGUUACUCACAGCGGGCGUUUCCUCGGUUCACCUGCCUGCCCCCCGACCAUCAAAUCUGGAUUGCAACUACCGUGUUCCUGGCUACUCACCCGGACCCUUCAGUCUUUCCCUCACGACGGCCUCCACCCACAAAACCCAUGCCCAAGACUCCCGCUUGUACUGACUGGCACUGGUGCCCAUCCUUCUAGCCUGAUUCCUGAGUUUAAAAUUGCUUUCAUGUUCCCAUUAAUGUGUCCGACCUGCGUUCAGCGGUAUCAUAGCUGAGGUUUUUGCUAUCGCCCUAGUUUUGCGGUAAUAGUGUGGCAACAUUAGUUCUGAGUUAACAUCCUCUGUUUUUGUUUCAAUUCUGUAUUAAAAUAAAGAUUUGUGAAUUAUGUCAUUUCUGUGCCUCUGUGCUGUAGUUCGCUCUGAGUUCGUCUGCCUUGUGCGGCUCCGGCCGUGACAGUAUGAGUGAAGGUUCGGUGGGGACAGUACACCAGGCUUUUUUGGUCUUUCUAGAAAUUCUCUUCUUAUGUGCACUGGCUUGUUGUUCCAUAUAAAUGCGAAGAUCAACUGAUUAAAUGUUUUGAAAAAGGAUACUGUUAUGAACACAGGCCUGAAAUAAGUAAAAAUAUUUAGGUAUUAUGUUCACUCUACCGAUGAGUGACAAUGGUAGGGCUGGCCAUUUCUUAAUAUCA